CGGGUCUCUCUUGAGUACAAGCAAAAGGAGAACCGGAGACAGGCCGGGACUGAGGCGGGAGGAGAAAGAGAGUAAACGUCUGUCAUUUCUAGAGGAGUCAUCUGUUUGGCAUGAAGCCUACUGUGAAAUGUGAUUCAGGACCAAGAAGAAGCCCAUUAUAGAUUGCCUGGAAUAUUGAGUUUACCUCAAGAGAACUUGGGAAGGCACAUCUGUGGAUUCCUCAGAGGUCCCUAAUGCAUCUCCUUCGCCUGACCCAUUGCUACCUCCCUCACAUCAGUUCCUGCCUCAGCAAUUCGCCUCACAGCCUCAUGCUUCCAGAACCUCUCUGCCGUUACAGAGUCUGUUCAAAAGGGACAAGCCUGAUUCCCUUUCAUGACCUCCAUUUGGCCCAAUGGAAGUUCAUCUAAUGUAGUCAAAUGAAAAAAAUGCACAAUGUCCAUUAGACAAUGAGCUACAUCACCAAUGAGUAACUCCAUAUGAAUAGAAGAGUCUAGAUCAAC